GACGAACCGUGCGAACGUUAUUCGGAAUCACUGGGCUUAAAGCGCGUGUAGGCGGACGGGGACGUCGGUCGCUGAAAUCCCCCGGCUCAACCGGGGAACGGGCGCCGAAACGCCCCGUCUCGAGGGACGUAGGGGGACCUGGAACUUCCGGUGGAGCGGUGAAAUGCGUUGAGAUCGGAAGGAACGCCCGUGGCGAAAGCGAGGUCCUGGACGUCUACUGACGCUGAGGAGCGAAAGCGUGGGGAGCGAACAGG
rnacentral:rRNA from 1 species